rnacentral:snRNA from 1 species
UUUGAAAAGAGAGUCAAAG